CCAGGGUUGGCCAGCAGCGCCACCAGGAGACCAGGGACGUGGGAGUGCAGGGUGUUGCUAAGAUGUUACUAAAAUGAUGGACCAUGGGAUCUAAGCGGGCUCAGGGUGGAAGGAAAGAUGACUGAUGCACAGAGGAGAGUCAGGUCAAGGACCUCCACGAGGCCGGAACUUUCCCAGGGGAGCAGUUGAACACGAGGACAGGUGGUUAAAGUCGUGGGGGAGGAGGAGAGGGAAAGGGGUUGAUUAGUGACGUGGAAGCAGAGAAUUACGGGAUCCACUUGCCCUGCUUGGGGGCCCAGUUUACCCUGCAAAGCAGGAAAUGCAGCCCCACUGAGCCAGCCCAGCCUGUGAGCACGGCAAUGACAGAGCACAGCCACAAGAGGGCAGCAUCGGCACACAAACCUGCACCUGGAGGCCUCAGCAUCCAUCCUGCUCUUCCGGUUGCUUCAUCUCCUACAGAUCAGCAGGCUUCAGGUGAGCCUCGAACAUUCCCUGGGAAGCUGAGUGUGGCCCAAGCUGCCUGCCUCAUCUUGUCCCCAAGCUAGAGCUGCCGCUGCCAUCUGUCUAGGUCCUGGAGGAGAAGGCGAGCCCACACUGGCCCAGAGGCAGCCCAGCAGAUGCAUUAGCAACCUGUUUCCUUCUAGUCUUUCUGUCUUAACAACGGAGGCCAUCCCGAGUCCCUUCCAAGACCCAGUCCCAGCAACCGGCUAACCCCAAGGGGCUGGCACCUCUCCCACAUGGAGAAAGCCCCCCCCACCCACACACACCUCUGAGCAGUAAAGGGGGCCUCCUGAUACCUCUGGUUCCCUCAGCAGGUGUCUGAAACGGUCACUCCUUCACAUGCACACGUGUUCUCCCCAAGUGAAGACUGAAAUGACUGCAUACCACUCAGGACUUUGCACGGAGAGAAGCAGUCAUGUGACAGAGCAACAAAGCACCAAAGAGAUGAAAUCAUGAUUGGGGGGCUGGGCCAGGAACAGCCCUGCAUCCGCUGCCCUCACUGGACCCAAGGACUUUUGUCGCCCAUGCUGUCCCUUCCCUCCUCAGCCUCACCACAUGGAAAUGCAGGCGGACGUGGGAGUGUCCCAGUAUCCUGGCGAGAGUAACAACCUUCUUGCAGGAAAGGAAACGGUGGGGUCCCGGCCGCCCCCUGCCCUUUGCAGACCCCCGCCCACGUUGCCUGUAAUCUGUAACCAUUAUACCCAGUCCCAUUCCUUUUGCUCACCUCCCUAUGUAUUCUUUGCCCUCUCACCCCACAUAAGCAGCUGGCUUAUGGGGAGACAGAGUAGAUUUCUAGAUGACCUGCUGCUCUCCCAAGCUGCUGGCGUUAUUGGAAUCAAGGCCCAUGUGUGAUUCAGCCCUGUCUCUGCUUACUCGGCUCCAGUAGCGACAGGCAGCCCGGGCCAUUGGUUGUCCGGUCUCACAGUUGCUGUGAUCUUGACUCUUCUACCUUAAGCCCUUGCUUUGUUUCACUGCCCCCAGCUUUAAUAAACCUCCUCUCACAGUCA